rnacentral:rRNA from 1 species
UGUAAGCGUAUACCAAAGUUGUUGCAGUUAAAACGCUCGUAGUCGGAAUUUGGCAGUUCCGGAUGUGUGCACGUCGUGUGCGCACUUCGCGGGGAUUGCUUUUGUGGUCUUGCGUAGGAUGAGGCACUUUUAUUAGUGAACGUCCUCACGCAACCACUUUUUACUGUGAGAAAAUCAGAGUGCUCAAAGCAGGCAUUUGCCGUGAAUGUAUUAGCAUGGAAUAAUAGAAUAGGACUUGGUUCUAUUUUGUUGGUUUGUUGGGACUGAGUAAUGAUUAAGAGGGACAGUUGGGGGCAUUUGUAUUUCGGUGCUAGAGGUGAAAUUCUUAGAUUACCGUAAGACAAACUGCUGCGAAAGCGUCUGCCAAGGAUGUUUUCAUUGA